ensembl:snRNA U6 U6 spliceosomal RNA
GUGCUCACUUUUGCAGCACAUAUACUAAAAUUGGAAUGACACAGAGAAGAUUAGCAUGGCCCUUGCACAAGGAUAACAUGCAAACUUAUGAAGCAUUCCAUAUUAAA